rnacentral:rRNA from 1 species
CCUACGGGGGGCUGCAGUAGGGAAUAUUGGUCAAUGGAUGAAAGUCUGAACCAGCCAUGCCGCGUGCAGGAAGAAGGCGUUAUGCGUUGUAAACUGCUUUUGCCAGGGGAUAAAAUGACCGUGCGCGGUUAAUUGAAGGUACCUGGUGAAUAAGCCACGGCUAACUACGUGCCAGCAGCCGCGGUAAUACGUAGGUGGCAAGCGUUGUCCGGAUUUAUUGGGUUUAAAGGGUGCGUAGGUGGCCCUGUAAGUCAGUGGUGAAAUAUCUCAGCUUA